AUACGUAGGAUCCGAGCGUUGUCCGGAUUUACUGGGCGUAAAGGGUGCGUAGGCGGCGUGGUAAGUCUCAUGUGAAAUCUCCCGGCUCAACUGGGAGGGGUCAUGGGAUACUGCCAUGCUCGAGGGCAGUAGAGGAGAGCGGAAUUCCGGGAGUAGCGGUGAUAUGCGUAGAUACCCGGAGGAACACCCGUGGCGAAAGCGGCUCUCUAGGCUGUACCUGACGCUAAGGCACGAAAGCGUGGGGAGCAAACCGGAUUAGAAACCCGUGUAGUCC
rnacentral:rRNA from 1 species